rnacentral:rRNA from 1 species
CCCCUAGAUGUUCUGGGCCGCACGCGCGCUACACUGAACAGUUCAACAAGUCUUAACCUUGGCCGAUAGGUCUGGGUAAUCUUUGAACGCUGUUCGUGAUUGGGAUAGACCUUUGCAAUUAUGGGUCUUCAACGAGGAAUUCCUAGUAAACGCAAGUCAUCAGCUUGCAUUGAUUACGUCCCUGCCCUUUGUACACACCGCCCGUCGCACCUACCGAUUGAAUGGUUUAGUGAGGCCUCGGGACUGGCGCGCUCGAGUAGCAAUACACCUGCGCGCCGGGAACUUGGUCAAACUUGAUCAUUUAGAGGAAGUAAAAGUCGUAACA